CGGCCUGAGGUCGGACGAGGCUACCCGCUGAAUUUAAGCAUAUUACUAAGCGGAGGGAAAAGAAACUAACGAGGAUUCCCUCAAUAACGGCCAGUGAAAGCGGACGAACCCAACGCCGAUUCCCGCCGCUUAUGGAGCGGACGGAAUUGGGGCGUAUGGAAUUCCCUUCGAGCCCGGGACCGGUGCCCACGUCCUUCUGAUCGAGGCUCAUCCCAUAACGGGUGUCCGGCCUUUGGGGGGGCUGGCCCGGGCUCUCGGGGCC
rnacentral:ncRNA from 1 species